CGCCAGCUCAUUAAUAAACGAUAGGUUAUUGUGUUUUGGUCAGGGUUCCUUCUUCCUCGUCUUCCCAAUCAGUCUCCCCCGAGUUUCAGACCAAACCCUAACCCUAGAAUUCGGCCAUGUCGUCUAAGCAAGGAGGGAAAAUAAAGCCUCUGAAGCAACCAAAAUCUGACAAGAAGGACUACGAUGAGCAUGACUUGGCCAACCUGCAGAAAAAGAAGGAGGAGGAGAAGGCACUCAAAGAGCUUAAGGCCAAGGCACAACAGAAGGGGUCAUUUGGAGGUACUGGGAUGAAGAAGAGUGGGAAGAAAUGAGGGUUUUUAGACCCAAAUUGAAUUAUAGAAUUUCAAGUUGUACUUGUUGCAAUAUGGUAAUCGGUUUCAAUUUGCAUUAACGAUAAAGAUCUUUAUGAUAUCUUUUGGUCUAUGUGAUGAUCUAGUUUCUUGCUAAAAGUGUUACCUAAACUUUGAGUUUUUAUCUCAUCAUGUUGAAUUGAAUAACAUUAGUUCCAUGUUUGUGUUUAUGGUGUGCUA